rnacentral:ncRNA from 1 species
AUCUCAUCCAGAGCGGCGGAGGGACAGGCCCCAUGAAGCCCAGCAACCGGCCUCGAGUCGGUGCCAAUUCCUGCGGACCCUGUGUCCGAGAGAUGAGAG